GAUGAACGCUGGCGGCGUGCCUAAUACAUGCAAGUCGAGCGAACGGACGAGAAGCUUGCUUCUCUGAUGUUAGCGGCGGACGGGUGAGUAACACGUGGAUAACCUACCUAUAAGACUGGGAUAACUUCGGGAAACCGGAGCUAAUACCGGAUAAUAUUUUGAGCCGCAUGGUUCAAAAGUGAAAGACGGUCUUGCUGUCACUUAUAGAUGGAUCCGCGCUGCAUUAGCUAGUUGGUAAGGUAACGGCUUACCAAGGCAACGAUGCAUAGCCGACCUGAGAGGGUGAUCGGCCACACUGGAACUGAGACACGGUCCAGGCUCCUACGGGAGGCAGCAGUAGGGAAUCUUCCGCAAUGGGCGAAAGCCUGACGGAGCAACGCCGCGUGAGUGAUGAAGGUCUUCGGAUCGUAAAACUCUGUUAUUAGGGAAGAACAUAUGUGUAAGUAACUGUGCACAUCUUGACGGUACCUAAUCAGAAAGCCACGGCUAACUACGUGCCAGCAGCCGCGGUAAUACGUAGGUGGCAAGCGUUAUCCGGAAUUAUUGGGCGUAAAGCGCGCGUAGGCGGUUUUUUAAGUCUGAUGUGAAAGCCCACGGCUCAACCGUGGAGGGUCAUUGGAAACUGGAAAACUUGAGUGCAGAAGAGGAAAGUGGAAUUCCAUGUGUAGCGGUGAAAUGCGCAGAGAUAUGGAGGAACACCAGUGGCGAAGACGACUUUCUGGUCUGUAACUGACGCUGAUGUGCGAAAGCGUGGGGAUCAAACAGGAUUAGAUACCCUGGUAGUCCACGCCGUAAACGAUGAGUGCUAAGUGUUAGGGGGUUUCCGCCCCUUAGUGCUGCAGCUAACGCAUUAAGCACUCCGCCUGGGGAGUACGACCGCAAGGUUGAAACUCAAAGGAAUUGACGGGGACCCGCACAAGCGGUGGAGCAUGUGGUUUAAUUCGAAGCAACGCGAAGAACCUUACCAAAUCUUGACAUCCUUCGACAACUCUAGAGAUAGAGCUUUCCCCUUCGGGGGACAAAGUGACAGGUGGUGCAUGGUUGUCGUCAGCUCGUGUCGUGAGAUGUUGGGUUAAGUCCCGCAACGAGCGCAACCCUUAAGCUUAGUUGCCAUCAUUAAGUUGGGCACUCUAAGUUGACUGCCGGUGACAAACCGGAGGAAGGUGGGGAUGACGUCAAAUCACCAUGCCCCUUAUGAUUUGGGCUACACACGUGCUACAAUGGACAAUACAAAGGGCAGCGAAACCGCGAGGUCAAGCAAAUCCCAUAAAGUUGUUCUCAGUUCGGAUUGUAGUCUGCAACUCGACUACAUGAAGCUGGAAUCGCUAGUAAUCGUAGAUCAGCAUGCUACGGUGAAUACGUUCCCGGGUCU
rnacentral:rRNA from 1 species